rnacentral:rRNA from 1 species
CAGUCGCCGCGGGAAUACGGAGGGUGCAAGCGUUAUCCGGAUUUAUUGGGUUUAAAGGGUCCGUAGGCGGAUCUGUAAGUCAGUGGUGAAAUCUCACAGCUUAACUGUGAAACUGCCAUUGAUACUGCAGGUCUUGAGUAAAUUUGAAGUGGCUGGAAUAAGUAGUGUAGCGGUGAAAUGCAUAGAUAUUACUUAGAACACCAAUUGCGAAGGCAGGUCACUAAGAUUUAACUGACGCUGAUGGACGAAAGCGUGGGGAGCGAACAGGAUUAGAUACCCCUGUAGUCCCUGUCUCUUAUAU